UGAUGUUAUAUUAACUGGUGUAUAGCAGGGUAAGUGAUGUUAUAUUAACUGGUGUAUAGCAGGGUAAGUGAUGUUAUAUUAACUGUGUAUAGCAGGGUAAGUGAUGUUAUAUUAACUGGUAUAGCAGGGUAAGUGAUGUUAUAUUAACUGGUGUAUAGCAGGGUAAGUGAUGUUAUAUUAACUGUGUAUAGCAGGGUAAGUGAUGUUAUAUUAACUGUGUAUAGCAGGGUAAGUGAUGUUAUAUUAACUGUGUAUAGCAGGGUAAGUGAUGAUAUAUUAACUGGUGUAUACAGGGUAAGUGAUGUUAUAUUAACUGGUGUAUAGCAGGUAAGUGAUGUUAUAUUAACUGGUGUAUAGCAGGGUAAGUGAUGUUAUAUUAACUGUGUAUAGCAGGGUAAGUGAUGUUAUAUUAACUGGUGUAUAGCAGGGUAAGUGAUGUUAUAUUAACUGGUGUAUAGCAGGGUAAGUGAUGUUAUAUUAACUGGUGUAUAGCGGGGUAAGUGAUGUUAUAUUAACUGG